rnacentral:lncRNA from 10 species
CCGCCCACCCAUCGCCUUUGCCACCCUCGAACGGGCAAAAGAAAGAAAGAGGCAGGCAUUCCUCAGGCCUUAUCUCUCUGGUUCUUUCUGCUACAUUUGACACCUUGGGAUGACUCUCACCUUCUGGAAUCUCUCUACUACCUUGGUUUCAGAAGAGUGAACCCUCUGGAUUAUCACAUGAAGCUACUUCCUGUGAGCAGCCCAGGGAUGGCCAGUCACUUGUGACCUACUUUCAGAGCUGGCAGUUCUGACUUCUAGAACAAACUCGGAACAAGCCCAUCUACAGCUGGUUGACUGAGUUUCCUUUGGGCUCCUGGCACCAGAAAGAAUUGCUCACUGGAAGGAUCAUAGGUGGCACUCAUGUCUCACUGCCCCACUCAGGU